AUAUAUAUAUAUAUAUUUGUUUAUUUAAUUUAUUUAUUUAUUGAGACGGAGUUUCGCUCUUGUUGCCCAGUGUGGGGUGCAACGGCGCAAUCUUGGCUCAUUGCAACUUCCACCUCCCCGGUUCAAGCAACUCUCCUGCCUCAGCCUCCUGAGUAGCUGGGAUUACAGGCAUGAGCCACCAUGCCCGGCUAAUUUUGUAUUUUUAGUAGAGAUGGGGUUCCUCCAUGUUGGUCAGGCUGGUCUCGAACUCCUGACCUCAGGUGAGCUGCCCGCCUCGACCUCCCAAAGUGCUGGGAUUACAGGCGUGAGCCACUGCGCCCAGCCCUGGCAUUAUAUUUUUGUAACGUUCUUACGUUAUACAUGAAGUGGUGUAAUAUUAUUGGAAAGUAGACUGGAUAUUGAAGAAUGCAUAUUGUAACACUCCAGCAACCAAAAAUAUAAGGAGGCAUAGCUAAAAAGUAAGUAGAGAAGAUGGAAUAAAAUAUUUUAUUAAGUCUCAACCAAAUAGAAGGCAGUAAAGGAGGAACAAAAGAGGGGGGACAAAUAGAUAACAAAUAGCAAGAUGAUAAAACUUAAACCCACCCAUAAUGAUAAGUAUAUUACAUAUGAAAGGACUAGGCACUGCCAUUGAAAGGCAGAUAUUGCCAGACUUGAUUGAAAAGGAUCUUAGCUGAAUUCUUGUCUGUAAAUGGUGAGAAUUAAAUGAGACUGUGAAUCAAAGCACUGAGCACAGUGCCUGGCCCACACAGGAGGCUUCUUCAGUGAAAACUCUGAACAUAUUCUAAUAAGAGUCCUGCUUUCCUUCACGCCUGUCUGUGAGCUCUGUGGGGAGGCCCCAGAGCUGAGCAUUCAUCUAAUCAGCCUUUGUGGACCUCCAACGUCAUGCCAGACAGAUGGGGCCCUUAUCACCUGGCAGUUGCAUGUAGGUUAUAUGUCUACUUUUCAGGAACAGUGAAAUGACCCCUCCUCCUGUGCCUCCUCCAAAGAGGAGUUGGAGAAGGAGCCAGGGCACAAAGAGACAGAUUGUCAAAACCAUGCCUAUGCCGGGCAUGGUGGCUCAUGCCUGUAAUCCUUGCACUUUGGGAGGCUGAGGCAGGCAGAUCACUUGAGGUCAGGAGUUCGAGACCAGCCUGACCAACAUGGUGAAACCCUGUCUCUACUAAAAAUAUGAAAAUUAGCCGGGCAUGGUGGCACACGCCUGUAAUCCCAGCCACUUGGGAGGCUGAGACAGGAUAAUCACUUCAGCCCGGGAGGCAGAGGUUGCAGUGAACCAAGAUUACGCCACUGCACUCCAGCCUAGGCAACAGAGUGAGAGUCCAUCUCAACAACAACAACAACAAAAAGACCUAAUCACCAAGGUGAUGGUGUUAGAAGGUGUUAGAAGAUGGGGAUCUUUGAAAGGUGAUUAGGUCAUGAGGGCUCUAUCCUUGUGAAUUGGAUAACUGCCCUUAUAAAAGAGGCCCCAGAGAACUGUCUUCCCCCUUCCACCAUGUGAGGAUACAGCAAGAAGGUGCCAUGUUUGAAGCAGGGAACGGGCUCAGGCACCGGAUCUACUGCUGCCUUGAUCUUGGACUUCCCAGCCUCCAGAACUGUGAGCAAUAAAUUCCGUUGUUUAUAAAUUUCCCAGUCUAAGGUAUUUUGUUACAGUAUCCUGAACUGACCAAGCCACCCCCAUGAGUCAUGAAGCUAGCAGCUUUUCGUGUAUUUGUUGGCCUCCUAAGUACUCUUGUUAUGAAGUACUUUAAUGCAAGCCCUCCCCCAUUUUUCUCUUGAAUUGUCUGCCUUUUUCUUUUUGGUUUGUAGGAGUUCUUCAUAUAUAGUGGGAAAAAAUCAUUUGGGAUGUGUGUGUGUGCGCACACGCAAAUGCAUGCAUGCACGUGUUUAAAAGGCCAAUAUUCUCUGUCCCACAAAUUCAGAACACCACAGUGGUUGGGCCAUAAUUGCACUGUGGGUGGUGGCAGGGUUUCAGACAAAAGGCAUAAUAACAUGUCACAUAAAAUUAAUCUGAUUUGAAUCGAUUUUGUACGUGAUGGGUCAAUUUGUCUUGGUCUGAUGCUUGUAUAAGAGCUACAAGGAGUUUAUAUCUCAUUUUAUGCUUGCACAUGUUUAAGUAAUACACAAUAAAAAUCAUUUAAGGCAACAGUGAGGGCCCAGGAGAUGCCCUUCUUCUCUAGGUAAGCAGGAGAUUCUCAAAACACAAAUCCAAUCUGUGACUCCCCUGCUUAAUGCAUCUCAAAAGAUCCUUUUUUUGUCUAGGAUGGAGAUGAGACUCCUUCCCCUGGUAGGCGGCCUCCUCGGACCUGCUCCCCUGCACUGUUCACUGAAGCCGCCGCCUCCUUCUGGGCAUGGUCUCUCCAUGUCUUCUCUCUCCACAUAAGCCCCCAGCCCCUGUUUUGGAGCAGCUGCUGCCCUGACCACCCCUUUUGCUUAGACUUAGCUCAAUCAUCCCUUCUCUGGGAAGCUCCCACUGUGGCCUCUGAAACCACCAUCCCAGCUGGGCACUUUGCUUCCUUUUUUUUUUUUUUUUUUGAGACAGAGUCUCGCUCUGUCGCCCAGGCUGGAGUGCAGUGGCGCCAUCUCGGCUCACUGCAACCUGUGCUCCUGGGUUCACGCCAUCCUCCUGCCUCAGCCUCCCGAGUAGCUGGAACUACAGACGCC
rnacentral:lncRNA from 1 species